GCUUGCUUCGGCAGACAUAUACUAAAAUUAGAAUGAUACAGAGAAGAUUAGCAUGUCCACUGCGCAAGGAAAAAUGACUUAGCACCUGGUACUUUCAGUUGUUU